CCUACGGGAGGCAGCAGUGAGGAAUAUUGGUCAAUGGACGCAAGUCUGAACCAGCCAAGCCGCGUGCAGGAAGACGGCCCUAUGAGUUGUAAACUGCUUUUGUACGAGGGUAAACUCAGAUACGCGUAUCUUUCUGAAAGUAUCGUACGAAUAAGGAUCGGCUAACUCCGUGCCAGCAGCCGCGGUAAUACGGAGGAUUCAAGCGUUAUCCGGAUUUAUUGGGUUUAAAGGGUGCGUAGGCGGGUGGAUAAGUUGGCUGUGAAAUCCCGAGGCUCAACCUCGGAAUUGCCUCUGAUACUGUUAGGCUAGAGAGUAGUUGAGGUAGGCGGAAUGUAUGGUGUAGCGGUGAAAUGCUUAGAGAUCACGCAGAACACCGAUUGCGAAGGCAGCUUACCAAGCUACUUCUGACGUUGAGGCACGAAAGCGUGGGGAGCAAACAGGAUUAGAUACCCCUGUAGUC
rnacentral:rRNA from 1 species